rnacentral:lncRNA from 10 species
CGCGGGGUCUGGCCGGGGACGGGCGUACCGAGGUGAGCAGAGGCAGCGAGAGGCCCGCGCUGAGGCGGCGCAGCGCAAAGGGGCGGACGCUGAGGGCGGCCAGGGCGCGGCCGGCCGCCGGGAACUCGAGGCGCAGCGUGACGGCGGCGUGCAGCCCCACGGCCGGGCUGUAGCGCGUGAGCUCCAGGAACACAGCGCGGCUCCUGCGCAGAGGGGUCUGGCUGGACUAAAGGCAAAACUAAAGCCCAGAAGACAGACCAGUGCACCGGAUGCCCGUACCGCGUGAUGGCCAGGAAGGCCCGGCUGUGCAGCUCCUGCUUGAUGGCGCUUUGCAGACGGAGCCAGUGACCACCGAGGCUGUGCCACUGCAUCGGGCCACCAUGCUGAUAUGCCCGGUCCCAGAGCUGCUAGAGAAGAGGUACAGAGGCAGCGAAGACACGUUGAGGGGGAGGACGAGACCAACUGCGAGACGCCGAGUCCCGGGCUCUCAGGACGCUCUCCCGUACCUGCGCCCUCGUCAGCCCAUCACCGAAAGAACGGCCUGACCCAGGGUCACACUGCACUGAAUGCUUCCUUGAGCCGAGAUCAUGCGACUGCACUCCAGUCUGGGCAACAGAGACUCCAUCUCAAAAAAAUAAAUAAAAAUAAAAAAUAACCCAGCCUCAACUAUUCCUUUAUAGCAACACAAAUGACUCAGGGUCUGACUCAGGGAGCAGGCUCUCGCUGGCAGAGACGGAGAAUGGCCAAUAGGGAGGCAUGGAGUGGCAGGGAAUGCCAGGGCAGAGGCGCCGCCAGGACGGAGGGUGCAGGCUCAGGCGCAGGGAAGGCCGUGCUCUGCGUUGGGAAAGGAGCCACGGGACGCGCUGGAGGCUGCAGUGAGGAAGGACGCAGAGGGGUCCAGGACAAACCCAAGCCUCCGACCUGGUCAGCCCGAAGCACUGUCCGAGCAAGGGACGGCCAAGGGUUGAGGAAGCCGGGAGGGUGAGGGCCACGCGCUCUGUGUGGAUGCGGAGUCUGAGCUGCCGUCAGAAAUCCCCGCGGAAGCACUGAAUCUGGAUUUCACAGAGCUUUGGGCCGGAGAUACCUGGGGCUGGUCAGCAUGUAGUGACUACCCCUGGAUUUCCCCAUACUCUGUAUUUUUAAAACCAACCAGCAAUUUAUUCAUAAAGAUGCCCUCAUGUGAUGGUUAUCUGCCUUUUGUAAAUCAGGAAGUUUUCCUUUUUGUUUGAGUCCAGGGGCAGUUCAUACCUCUUUAGUUCUUGGUUGCUUAACAAUGAGAAGCACUCAAAGGAAUAACACACAAAUCAAACUAGAUGUGGAUGCAAAAGCAGCAGUCACGCACCACUUAGUGCCAGGGAUGUGUUCUGAGAAAUGCGUCAUUAGGUAAUUCUGUUGCUGUGCAAAUGUCACAGGGCGUAGUUACCCAAACCCAGACACCGCAGCCCCUGUGCAUGCAGGCCCUGUGGUGUGGCCUGUGGCUCCGGGGCACCGCACCUGCACUGCAUGCCACUGCACUGAAUCCUGCAGGCAGCUGCAGUGCAACGGCAGGGCCGUGUGGACCUCAGCACACCUGAGCAUAGGAGGGCAUGGCAGAGCCCGGGGUCACACGCGUGGGAACACGCCGUGGGUGCGCUCCGCCGCCGGCUGCCAUGUGCGUGACUAUGUGCGUGACUACAUACAAGGUAACCUCUAUAUGACCAUUUGUUGAUAAGUUACAAAACAACCAAGAAAUUGAGGAAUUUUUUUGUUUUUGAGACGGAGUUUCGCUCUUGUUGCCCAGGCUGGAGUGCAGUGGCGCGAUCUCGGCUCACUACAA